rnacentral:rRNA from 1 species
CCUACGGGAGGCAGCAGUGGGGAAUAUUGCACAAUGGGGGAAAGCCUGAACCAGCGACGCCGCGUGAGUGAAGAAGUAUUUCGGAAUGUAAAGCUCUAUCAGCAGGGACGAAAGAACUGACGGUACCUGAGUAGGAAGUUGCGGCUAACUACGUGGCAGCAGCCGAGGGAAUACGUAGGGGGCAAUCGUGAUCUGGAAUUACUGGGCGUAUAGGUGGCGAUGACGGUAAGGCAAGUCUGCGGUGAAAGGCGGGGGCUUAACCUCCGGACUGCUCUGGAAACUGUGUAAAUGGAGUGCAGGAGAGGCAGGGGGAAUUCCUAGUGUAGCGGUGAAAUGCGUAGAUAUUAGGAGGAACACCAGUGGCGAAGGCGGCCUGCUGGACUGUAACUGACGUUGAGGCUCGAAAGCGUGGGGAGCAAACAGGAUUAGAUACCCCAGUAGUC